GACGAACGCUGGCGGCGUGCUUAACACAUGCAAGUCGAACGGAAAGGCCCUGAUUUUGUGGGGUGCCCGAGUGGCGAACGGGUGCGUAACACGUGAGUAACCUGCCCUUCACUUUCGGAUAACUUCAGGAAACUGGGGCUAAUAUCGGAUAGGAGAUCACGUUGCAUGGAGGGGGUUGGAAAGUCUAGGCGGUUUGGGAUGGACUAGCGGAUUAUCAGCUUGCUGGUGGGGUAGUGGCUUGCCCAGUCUUUGACGGGUCGCCGGCCUGGGAGGGUGACCGGCCACAUUAGGACUGAGGUACGGCCCAGACUCCAAUGGGAGGCAGCAGGGGGGAGUAUUACACAAUGAGCGCGAGCCGGUGGCGGCAGCGCCGCGUGCGUGAUGACGGCCUGCUGGGUGUAAACCGCUUUCGCCUGUGACGAAGCGGGAGUGACGGUAAUGGAUAAAUAAGCACCGGCUAACUACGUG
rnacentral:rRNA from 1 species